rnacentral:rRNA from 1 species
UACGAAGGGGGCUAGCGUUGCUCGGAAUCACUGGGCGUAAAGCGCACGUAGGCGGGUCUUUAAGUCAGGGGUGAAAUCCCGGAGCUCAACUCCGGAACUGCCUUUGAGACUGUGAGGCUUCGAGUACGGGAGAGGUGAGUGGAAUUCCCAGUGUAGAGGUGAAAUUCGUAGAUAUUGGGAAGAACACCGAUGGCGAAGGCAGCCAUCUGGACCGACACUGACGCUGAGGCGCGAAAGCGUGGGGAGCAAACAGG